rnacentral:tRNA from 1 species
GGAGAGAUGGCUCAGUGGUUAAGAGCACUGACUGCUCUUCCAGAGGUCCUGAGUUCAAAUCCCAGCAACCACA